CCUACGGGUGGCUGCAGUGGGGAAUAUUGGACAAUGGGCGAAAGCCUGAUCCAGCCAUGCCGCGUGUGUGAAGAAGGCCUUCGGGUUGUAAAGCACUUUCAGUGGGGAAGAAAGCCUUGGGGCUAAUACCCUCGAGGAAGGACAUCACCCACAGAAGAAGCACCGGCUAACUCCGUGCCAGCAGCCGCGGUAAUACGGAGGGUGCGAGCGUUAAUCGGAAUUACUGGGCGUAAAGCGCGCGUAGGCGGUCUGAUAAGCCGGUUGUGAAAGCCCCGGGCUCAACCUGGGAACGGCAUCCGGAACUGUCAGGCUAGAGUGCAGGAGAGGAAGGUAGAAUUCCCGGUGUAGCGGUGAAAUGCGUAGAGAUCGGGAGGAAUACCAGUGGCGAAGGCGGCCUUCUGGACUGACACUGACGCUGAGGUGCGAAAGCGUGGGGAGCAAACAGGAUUAGAUACCCCAGUAGUC
rnacentral:rRNA from 1 species